AGCGGCGGACGGGUGAGUAACACGUGGGCAACCUGCCCUGCAGAUCGGGAUAACUCCGGGAAACCGGUGCUAAUACCGAAUAGUUUGCGGCCUCUCAUGAGGCCACACGGAAAGACGGUUUCGGCUGUCACUGCAGGAUGGGCCCGCGGCGCAUUAGCUAGUUGGUGAGGUAACGGCUCACCAAGGCCACGAUGCGUAGCCGACCUGAGAGGGUGAUCGGCCACACUGGGACUGAGACACGGCCCAGACUCCUACGGGAGGCAGCAGUAGGGAAUCUUCCGCAAUGGACGAAAGUCUGACGGAGCAACGCCGCGUGAGUGAAGAAGGUUUUCGGAUCGUAAAACUCUGUUGUGAGGGAAGAACAAGUACCAAGUAACUACUGGUACCUUGACGGUACCUCACCAGAAAGCCACGGCUAACUACGUGCCAGCAGCCGCGGUAAUACGUAGGUGGCAAGCGUUGUCCGGAAUUAUUGGGCGUAAAGCGCGCGCAGGCGGUCCUUUAAGUCUGAUGUGAAAGCCCACGGCUCAACCGUGGAGGGUCAUUGGAAACUGGGGGACUUGAGUGCAGAAGAGGAAAGUGGAAUUCCACGUGUAGCGGUGAAAUGCGUAGAGAUGUGGAGGAACACCAGUGGCGAAGGCGACUUUCUGGUCUGUAACUGACGC
rnacentral:rRNA from 1 species